GCGUCCUGCGGUCUUCCUGAGCGAAAGCUGGUGAACUGGGGUGCUGGGGUGCUAUCUGCGGGCAUUUCAGCUCCUUCCGCCGCUGCUGAGAAAGUUGAAGGCUUCGAAUUAAAUGAGUAGCAGCUCACCUAGUUCCUCCACACUGUUAGCGGGCAUGCCCGUGCUGGGCUGCCCAGGAAUUCAUUAUGUAGCUCACCCACAGUGAUCCUCCUGCUUCAGCCUCCCACAUGCUAGGAUAACAGCCCAGCCCAGAGGCAAAGAAAUGACUCCUUUUGGAACCUAUUUCAACAAGUCCCUGAGGCGUAUCGACCUUUAACCGCCAGGAAUCCUGUGGUCCUGCUUGAGGUGUGCCAAGACGGAACGGAGCAAAGAAUACCAUAAACCAACAGACUUUGCAAAUACACUGGAAGGGGGAACAUGAACAUGCUGGAGGUCAGAGGACAACUUGAAGCCUCUUGUUUUCUUCCUGAGGAUUGAACUUGGCCUUGCUACCGAGCGCCUCUGACCUCUGAGACAUCACACCAGCCCGAGUUAUGGAUGUGCAGAACCACACAGGCAGCUGAGGGAAACGGGAAGCUAACAACCGCUGAUCACGCUCACAGGCUGAUCCUAAUUGCUUGCACUGCCUAACGCUUGCACACCACAGUGACAAUAAGAUGUGAUUGCAGGUCCCGGAAGCUGGUGGCUUACUUCCCUAGCUGGCAGGUUUGAUUGCAGCUAUUCAAAGACCAUUUAGAUGUGUGCAUGUGUCUAGGAUCCAAAUGGUACCCAAGUCUGCCUUCCCUGACCAACCAGCACCAGGAGAAGGAUACACUGUCCCCUCAGCCCCCAGGGACUUGCCACCCACUGUUAGAUCCCUUCUUAGGGGAUAUAACACACUAAGGGAUAAGCAGAAGUCAGAUGGGCUGACAUAUCUGUAUUCCAGAAGAAACUGAGGAAUGUGUCUCAACUUCUUAAAAGUCCUCAGAGUCGGGAUAUUCUUUAAAUAGUGUUUCUUCUCUCUUUCAUUUAAUGAGUGGAAUCAUGAUUUCCCAGUCCCCAACUGAACCUUGGAUCUCGUGAAUGUUAAAAACAAGUAGCGGGGAGCUGGAGAGAUGGCUCAGCGGUUAAGAGCACUGGAUGCUCUUCCAAAGGUCCUGAGUUCAAUUCCCAGCAACCUUAUGGUGGCUCACAACCAUCUGUAAUGCAAUCUGGUGCCCUCUCCUGCCAUGCAAGGCAUACAUGCAAGGCAGAACACUGUAUGCAUGAUAAUAAAUAAAUAAGUAAAUAAAUAAAUCUUUAAAAAGUA
rnacentral:lncRNA from 1 species